rnacentral:rRNA from 1 species
UACAGAGGUCUCAAGCGUUGUUCGGAUUCAUUGGGCGUAAAGGGUGCGUAGGCGGCGCGGUAAGUCGGGUGUGAAAUCUUGGAGCUUAACUCCGAAACUGCAUUCGAUACUGCCGUGCUUGAGGACUGGAGAGGAGACUGGAAUUUACGGUGUAGCGGUGAAAUGCGUAGAUAUCGUAAGGAAGACCAGUGGCGAAGGCGGGUCUCUGGACAGUUCCUGACACUGAGACACGAAGGCCAGGGGAGCAAAACGGGG